GAUGAAGAACGCAGCGAAAUGCGAUACGUAAUGUGAAUUGCAGAAUUCAGUGAAUCAUCGAGUCUUUGAACGCACAUUGCGCCCCCUGGUAUUCCGGGGGGCAUGCCUGUCCGAGCGUCAUUGCUGCCCUCAAGCACGGCUUGUGUGUUGGGCCUCCGUCCUCCUCCCGGGGGACGGGCCUGAAAGGCAGCGGCGGCACCGCGUCCGGUCCUCGAGCGUAUGGGGCUUCGUCACCCGCUCUUGUAGGCCCGGCCGGCGCUUGCCGACACAUCAAUCUUUUUUCCAGGUUGACCUCGGAUCAGGUAGGGAUACCCGCUGAACUUAAGCAUAUCAAUAAGCGGAGGA
rnacentral:misc_RNA from 1 species